GACGAACCGUACGAACGUUAUUCGGAAUCACUGGGCUUAAAGAGUUCGUAGGCGGCCAUGCAGGUGAGAUGUGAAAUCCCUCGUCUCAACCGAGGAAUUGCGUUUCAAACCGCAUGGCUAGAGGAAGAUAGGGGUGAGCGGAACUGAUGGUGGAGCGGUGAAAUGCGUUGAUAUCAUCAGGAACACCAGAGGCGAAGGCGGCUCACUGGGUCUUUUCUGACGCUGAGGAACGAAAGCUAGGGGAGCAAACGGGAUUAGAUACCCCGGUAGUCCUAGCUGUAAACGAUGAGCACUGGAUCGUGGGGGCCUCCACACCCCCUCGGUCGUAGCGAAAGUGUUAAGUGCUCCGCCUGGGGAGUAUGGUCGCAAGGCUGAA
rnacentral:rRNA from 1 species